rnacentral:rRNA from 1 species
AACGAACGCUGGCGGCAGGCUUAACACAUGCAAGUCGAGCGCAUCCUUCGGGGUGAGCGGCAGACGGGUGAGUAACGCGUGGGAACGUACCCUUUCCUACGGAAUAGCUCCGGGAAACUGGAAUUAAUACUGUAUACGCCCUUAGGGGGAAAGAUUUAUCAGGGAAGGAUCGGCCCGCGUUGGAUUAGCUAGUUGGUGGGGUAAAGGCCUACCAAGGCGACGAUCCAUAGCUGGUAUGAGAGGCUGACCAGCCACAUUGGGACUGAGACACGGCCCAAACUCCUACGGGAGGCAGCAGUGGGGAAUAUUGGACAAUGGGCGCAAGCCUGAUCCAGCCAUGCCGCGUGAGUGAUGAAGGCCUUAGGGUUGUAAAGCUCUUUCAGUAGGGAAGAUAAUGACGGUACCUACAAAAGAAGCCCCGGCUAACUUCGUGCCAGCCGCCGCGGUAA